GCGAGGACUGGGAGAAUGGGGGGAACUGGGGGGAACUGGGGUUCCUUGGGUGGGUUUGGGGUUCCCUGGGUGGGUUUGGGGGUCCCAGGGCAGGUUUGGGGUGCUGACCCUCCAUCCCCUCCCCAGCUGGUUUGAGGCACCAACGUGUUCGGGGUGCUGCGGGGAUGUUGGGGUCUCUGGGCAGGCUUGGGGGGUCCCAGGGUGAUUUAGGGGUGCUCUCUGGGUGGAUUUGGGGGUCCCAGAUGAUUUAGGGGUGCUCUCUGGGUCCAUUUGGGGUCCCAGAUGCUUUAGGGGGUCCCAGGUGCUUUAGGGGGUCCCAGGUGCUUUAGGGGGUCCCAGGUGCUCUAGGGGUGCUCUCUGGGCAGGUUUGGGGGUCCCAGGUGCUUUAGGGGUGCUCUCU